GGUUGUUCCCCCGGCAUGGUCAUUUUCUGGCAAAUAAUAUGAACCUGAAGGCUGUGCAAAUUGAUUCCUGGGAAGCCUGACCUCCCUGUUGGGAACUACAAAAGGCUGUCCGAGAGGCUUACAAACAGCUAUCCCAGGCUGCUGCCUGGGCUUAAUCCUUCUGAUCCACUUGCGAUCCUGAAAGCUACCUCUCCUGCAAGGCUAUCGCCACUCCUGAGGCACCAAGAGUGGGGGAGAUGCCAAGAGACUGCAUGGAUGCCAGGGGGAAGACCAUGCUCACAUAUUUGCUGCAGUUAUUUCCCGCAUCCUCGGUGAUGCCGCUGUGCCAGGAGAACAUCAGUUCAAUCAACAACAGUUUUAAUUUGCCAAUUUCUAAGCUUCACUCAUACAGAGGACCCAAGGAUGGCAGCUUCUUCACCCCACCACACUCACCACAGGUUUGUUCCCAGAGCCGCGUGCAAAAAAUCAUGGGAGAGCAGGAAGAAAUGGCUUUGCAGUGCUCAAGGUUGACUUUGCAACGUGGCAGAGGCCAGAAAAAGGCAGAUUUAUUGGGUCAAAGCAGUUACAUUAAAGGAAGACAAAUUCUGAUAUGGUGCUUCAGUUCCAGGGACACCCCACUCGCACAAGAAGGGCUGUUUCCUCGAGGUCAUCCCAUGCUGCAGCUUGUGCCAGUGCCUCCGGUGCUCUCACUGUGCCCCUGGGAGCAGGGUCUGGUCCCAGCAUCUCCAGGACCCUUUUGGGCUGGGGGAGAUACCUGCAGGGAAUUCCCCAGUGCCUCCUUGCCUGCAGCUGAGCAAGCCCCGCACCUGCAGCCUCGCCUUGCACACCCUGGCCUCCACCUGUCUGAGGCCUCCCUGGGCUCACUCCUGUCUGGAGAUCCCUGUGAGCCCCAAACCAGUCCCAGUAUCUUGGUGUCAUCACCCAAGUGCCAAGUAGAGGGGAGCGCUCCCUUCCCUCAACCUGCUGUCUACCCCGAGUCAAGCUGAAAAAGAGGACAGUGCCUCCAGAUCAUCUUCAAGUCGCCUCAGCUGGAAACCAAAAUACCUGUCUGGAGUGAAGCUGUACACAGGUACAGGGCUGUCUGCCUUCGCUGAGCCGAGGGAUGGUCUGUGCCACCGAGCUCAGGAAUGUGUCACCUCCAUGGCGUCCAGGGAGCAGGAGCAUAAUCAUACAGAGAGGCUCCGUGUCAAGCUCGUGUGUUUUUCUGCUGAGUCCUGAAAUUCUGCAGUCACGUAAUGACAGCUCUCCUUCCUGCUCAGUUUCAGGAUCUGAUCCGGGAGGCUUCUAUGGUUUCACCCACUAUUUAUUCUUCACCUCACAUGAUUUUUGGAAUUUCCAUUUCAAAAUGUUUUGUGGAUUUUGUCCUACUGUGAUGCUGGCAACCAGGGAUAGCACAAUUUUCGUUCUCAAACUGGGUUUUCUCAAUUUUCCCAGUAGGGGCAGCACUUGCCUUUCAAGUGAGUCAAAAGGAAGAAAAAUAUCUGUAUUUAAAAAAUGAAUUCCUGUUUCUCGAGUAGCUUGAAUAGCAAGUACAAUUUCAGCACAAACCUGAACUAAGUGGGUUUAGUAGUUAUCAUUUCUUUUUAAUGUUUAACAUGCUGCCUAAAGCUGAAGAGUGAUUUGUGUCCUGUGUCAUCAUGCAAGCUGUAUUACUUAGAUUACAAUAAGGUCUCUAAGUCAAACCUCCUUUUACUCUAGUAAUAAAAAUAAUAAUAAUAAAGAUAUUAUGAUUGUC
rnacentral:lncRNA from 1 species